rnacentral:rRNA from 1 species
AGAGUUUGAUCCUGGCUCAGGAUGAACGCUGGCGGCGUGCCUAACACAUGCAAGUCGAGCGAGAAAUUAAUUAAUGAAUCUUCGGAAGAAUUAAUUAAUGGAAAGCGGCGGACGGGUGAGUAACGCGUGGGCAACCUGCCUUUCACAGAGGGAUAGCCAAAGGAAACUUUGAUUAAAACCUCAUAAAGCUGGAAUAGUGCAUAAUAUACCAGCCAAAGAUUUAUCGGUGAAAGAUGGGCCCGCGUGGCCACAUUGGAACUGAGACACGGUCCAAACUCCUACGGGAGGCAGCAGUGGGGAAUAUUGCACAAUGGGCGAAAGCCUGAUGCAGCAACGCCGCGUGAACGAAGAAGGCCUUCGGGUCGUAAAGUUCUGUCCAAAGGGAAGAAAAGAAUGACGGUACCUAUGGAGGAAGCCCCGGCUAAAUACGUGCCAGCAGCCGCGGUAAUACGUAUGGGGCAAGCGUUAUCCGGAAUUAUUGGGCGUAAAGAGUGCGUAGGUGGUGGCUUAAGCGCAGGGUUUAAGGCAAUGGCUUAACUAUUGUUCGCCUUGCGAACUGGGUCACUUGAGUACAGGAGAGGAAAGCGGAAUUCCUAGUGUAGCGGUGAAAUGCAUAGAUAUUAGGAGGAACACCGGUGGCGAAGGCGGCUUUCUGGACUGCAACUGACACUGAGGCACGAAAGCGUGGGUAGCAAACAGGAUUAGAUACCCUGGUAGUCCACGCCGUAAACGAUGAGCACUAGGUGUCGGCCAAUAAAGGUCGGUGCCGCAGUUAACGCAUUAAGUGCUCCGCCUGGGGAGUACGCACGCAAGUGUAAAACUCAAAGGAAUUGACGGGGACCCGCACAAGCAGCGGAGCAUGUGGUUUAAUUCGAAGCAACGCGAAGAACCUUACCAGAGCUUGACAUCCCUCUGACAGAUCCUUAAUCGGAUUUUUCUUCGGACAGAGGAGACAGGUGGUGCAUGGUUGUCGUCAGCUCGUGUCGUGAGAUGUUGGGUUAAGUCCCGCAACGAGCGCAACCCUUAUCAUUAGUUGCCAUCAUUAAGUUGGGCACUCUAGUGAGACUGCCGGGGACAACUCGGAGGAAGGUGGGGAUGACGUCAAAUCAUCAUGCCCCUUAUGUUCUGGGCUACACACGUGCUACAAUGGUCGGUACAGAAAGCAGCGAAACCGUGAGGUGAAGCCAAUCUCCAAAACCGAUCUCAGUUCGGAUUGUAGGCUGCAACUCGCCUACAUGAAGUCGGAGUUGCUAGUAAUCGCAGAUCAGAAUGCUGCGGUGAAUGCGUUCCCGGGUCUUGUACACACCGCCCGUUGCAACUCGAGUGCAUGAAGUUGGAGUUGCUAGUAAUCGCAGAUCAGAAUGCUGCGGUGAAUGCGUUCCCGGGUCUUGUACACACCGCCCGUC